rnacentral:rRNA from 1 species
AAACCAAGAUAGUUAAGUUAUACAUUUAUUGGUUAAAAGAUAGUUAGGUAGUUUAAAAAGCUUAUUUAAUUGUUAUUCAGAAGUAAAAUUUGUAAAUAAUCUAGAAAUUUUAUUAUAGCUGUAAAGCUGAAGCUAUGAUGCCCUUGAGGGAAACUGGGAUUAGAUACCCCAUUAUUCUAGGAGGUAAAAAAAUAAAAAUUUACCAGAGUACUACGAAAACCCCACAUUUAAAACUCAAAGAGCUUGGCGGUGUUUUAGACUUUUUAGGGGAACCUGUCUCAUAAUCGACAAUCCACGAUAGACCUGACCUUUAUUUGCUUUCAAUUUGUAUACCGUCGUCGGCAGGUAACUUUUUAGAAAAAAGAAGUUAGCAACAGGAUCAACACAAUAACUCCUUACGUCAGAUCAAGGUGCAGUCAACAUAAAGGAGAAGAUGGGUUACAAUUAUUAAAUAUAUAAGCACCAAACAGUAACUUGAAAACUUACUAUGAAGGAGGACUUAAAAGUAAAAUAGAAUAUAUAAAUAUAUUGAAUUAAGCUCUGAAACGUGC